UGCACAAGCAGCUGCUGGAUGGAGCAGCUGCUGGCAAAGAGUGUGUGGGGCACAUGCAGCGUGACGGGGUACUCACUUGACAGUCAGUCGUUGCAACACAAAGUGACAAGGACACCACCUGGGAAAUUUCUCCGCUCCGCUGCUCAGACUGCGGUAUGCUUUGCAGCAGAGAGCAGCAGAACGAAGGUGGUUUUAAAAAUGUACCGUGGGAAGAUACACUCAGAAGGCAGAGACGGGCACUAACCAUCCCGGCAACCCAGUUAAAUGUCAAAGAGAAUUGCUCCUACUGUGCAGAUGAAAUGCACCAAAAUGCAAACGAGCAGAAUAUGGAGCUGAGUGAUGUUGAGUGCAAGUUUCUCCGCUGCCAGAUGUGAAGAGAACAAGUGGUCUGAAAACUCUACUAUUCCGAAGUCACCACAUGACAGCUCCACGAAUUUAUUAAAACACUGGGAUCCCAAAGAGGUAUUUGCCCACAGUAUCUCCUCUCUGGGCUGAGAGAGCAUUGCUGUCCUCUCUACUUAGACAAGGGCUGCCGUGGCAAGGCGCUGCUCUCCAGAAACACGUUUUUAAAUGAAUGAAAAUUAAACCUGCACUACGUGCCAGAAGGUUUUCAAUGGGCAUAGGCACAGGCCGCUCACAGUCUAUCUACAGAGCUGCAACACUUUAACAACCCUUGAGCAAGUGAAAUGUGCAGCCUCCCUCCAAAUGCUCUCUGAGGAUGCAGUGACCUCUGGAGAUACGCCGCUUACCUUUCCCGAGGCAAAGGCUUGGGCUCUGGCCGAAUAGCUGCCAUGGAAGAGAGGGGCUGCCUGGCAGGUGAAGGGAUGGAAAAAUUCAAAUCCAAGGAGCCCGUUUUCCUGUGCAGAGGCUCCAGCCCCAUAGCUCCUUGCAUUUCGCUCUCGAUAGGGCACGAGCCUGCCCUGCCGUGGCUGGAGAGAGAGGAGAGCUCUGGUCCCACCGCCCCUUGGAGGACUCCUUCGAUGGCCGCCUGCGGGUCAUGCGUGGGAGACACGGAUGGUGGCGAGCGCGACUUCUUUUUUGUUGAUGCUCCUGCUAGAAGCUUCAGCAGCCCGCUCUUCUUCUCCUUCUGCAAAGCAACAAAAGGAGAUGUGGGCAGUGAGCAGACAUCCCUCAUCCCUUUGUUCUCCUUUUGGAAAAUCUCACUGUGCGGCAGGAAACUUCCCCAGGCUACCUCGUAUAGGGGUGGACUCAGGUAGAACCUGGGCCUUCGCUAAUAGACAUCCUACAAAAACACAUCACCAUUCAGCAGUGCUGGACUUAUUCAGCAGAGUAAGGACCUAUCAUAGACAAUCUCUAUUUUCAAAUCCACCCAAGCAGUGAUGAUGUGCCUCUUGAAAGAAAUACUGCAGUUGGUGGGACAGCAAAGGUACAAACUUCCCAUGCAGAGAAGGAGGCAACCGGACUGCUGCUCUCUGUCUUCCAGGGGACUCCUGUUCUUCAGUAAAGAAACUCCCAAAAGUAAUGCAGCAGGUGCUAUGCUGAAAAGACACCAGUGGGAAAGCAAGAGAACCGCUCAUCAUUGCUGCCUCAUUUGCUGCUUGCCAUUUUACUGCUUGAUGCAGACUUACUGCAGGGAGGGGGGAAGCACAAAACAGGGCUUUAAUACUUCUUUCCAGGCCAUGCUUCCUUCCCCAUCCUGCAUUACACUGCUGCUCCUGCCCACAUCUCCCUCCCAGAGGUAGGUCACCUCUCCUCUAGUGUUAAGGUGCAAGCGUUGCCUUAUGGUUGAAUACAGACUGCAACGUUCACACCUGGCAAUCACAAUGUCAGUGCAUGUGUAGUUUCAAAGUUCUGCUGUGGUUUCUGAUGCAGAGUAAAGCAAACAAAAUAAAAGCACUCUUUCAAUUAAUGUGGAAAUAAAGGUCAGCCUCUU
rnacentral:lncRNA from 1 species